UACGUAGGUGGCGAGCGUUGUCCGGAUUUACUGGGCGUAAAGGGCGUGCAGGCGGUUUGUUAAGUGCAGGGUGAAAGCUCCCGGCUCAACUGGGAGAGGUCCUUGCAUACUGGCGAACUCGAGGGAGGCAGAGGAAAGUGGAAUUCCCGGUGUAGUGGUGAUAUGCGUAGAUAUCGGGAGGAACACCUGUGGCGAAGGCGGCUCUCUGGGCCUUACCUGACGCUGAGACGCGAAAGCGUGGGGAGCGAACCGG
rnacentral:rRNA from 1 species